GACGAACGCUGGCGGCGUGCUUAACACAUGCAAGUCGAACGGAAAGGCCCUGCUUUUGUGGGGUGCUCGAGUGGCGAACGGGUGAGUAACACGUGAGUAACCUGCCCUUGACUUUGGGAUAACUUCAGGAAACUGGGGCUAAUACCGGAUAGGAGCUCCUGCUGCAUGGUGGGGGUUGGAAAGUUUCGGCGGUUGGGGAUGGACUCGCGGCUUAUCAGCUUGUUGGUGGGGUAGUGGCUUACCAAGGCUUUGACGGGUAGCCGGCCUGAGAGGGUGACCGGCCACAUUGGGACUGAGAUACGGCCCAGACGGCUACGGGAGGCAGCAGUGGGGAAUAUUGCAGAAUGGGCGGAAGCCUGAUGCAGCGACGCCGCGUGCGGGAUGACGGCCUUCGGGUUGUAAACCGCUUUCGCCUGUGACGAAGCGUGAGUGACGGUAAUGGGUAAAGAAGCACCGGCUAACUACGUG
rnacentral:rRNA from 1 species